UGCUUGCACCUUUCAAGCGAGUGGCGAACGGGUGAGUAACACGUGGAUAACCUGCCUCAAGGCUGGGGAUAACAUUUGGAAACAGAUGCUAAUACCGAAUAAAACUUAGUAUCGCAUGAUACAAAGUUGAAAGGCGCUACGGCGUCACCUAGAGAUGGGUCCGCGGUGCAUUAGUUAGUUGGUGGGGUAAAGGCCUACCAAGACAAUGAUGCAUAGCCGAGUUGAGAGACUGAUCGGCCACAUUGGGACUGAGACACGGCCCAAACUCCUACGGGAGGCUGCAGUAGGGAAUCUUCCACAAUGGGCGAAAGCCUGAUGGAGCAACGCCGCGUGUGUGAUGAAGGCUUUAGGGUCGUAAAGCACUGUUGUAUGGGAAGAAAUGCUAGAAUAGGGAAUGAUUCUAGUUCGACGGUACCAUACCAGAAAGGGACGGCUAAAUACGUGCCAGCAGCCGCGGUAAUACGUAUGUCCCGAGCGUUAUCCGGAUUUAUUGGGCGUAAAGCGAGCGCAGACGGUUGAUUAAGUCUGAUGUGAAAGCCCGGAGCUCAACUCCGGAAUGGCAUUGGAAACUGGUUAACUUGAGUGUUGUAGAGGUAAGUGGAACUCCAUGGGUAA
rnacentral:rRNA from 1 species